rnacentral:rRNA from 1 species
UACGAAGGGGGCUAGCGUUGCUCGGAAUCACUGGGCGUAAAGCGCACGUAGGCGGAUUUGUAAGUCAGGGGUGAAAUCCCGGGGCUCAACCUCGGAACUGCCUUUGAUACUGCAAUCUCGAGUCCGGAAGAGGUGAGUGGAAUUCCUAGUGUAGAGGUGAAAUUCGUAGAUAUUAGGAAGAACACCAGUGGCGAAGGCGGCUCACUGGUCCGGUACUGACGCUGAGGUGGACGGAAA